AACGAACGCUGGCGGCAGGCUUAACACAUGCCAGUCGAACGCACCUUUCGGGGUGAGUGGCAGACGGGUGAGUAACGCGUGGGAAUCUACCCUUCUCUACGGGAUAGCUCCGGGAAACUGGAAUUAAUACCGUAUACGUCCUGCGGGAGAAAGAUUUAUCGGGGAAGGAUGAGCCCGCGUUGGAUUAGCUAGUUGGUGGGGUAAAGGCCUACCAAGGCGACGAUCCAUAGCUGGUCUAAGAGGAUGAUCAGCCACAUUGGGACUGAGACACGGCCCAAACUCCUACGGGAGGCAGCAGUGGGGAAUAUUGGACAAUGGGCGCAAGCCUGAUCCAGCCAUGCCGCGUGAGUGAUGAAGGCCCUAGGGUUGUAAAGCUCUUUCAUUGGGGACGAUAAUGACGGUACCCACAGAAGAAGCCCCGGCUAACUUCGUG
rnacentral:rRNA from 1 species